rnacentral:rRNA from 1 species
GGAGGGAUCAUUACCGAGUUAUCCAACUCCCAACCCCUGUGAAUUAUACCUUUAAUUGUUGCUUCGGCGGGACUUCGCGCCCGCCGGGGACCCAAACCUUCUGAAUUUUUUUAAUAAGUAUCUUCUGAGUGGUUUAAAAAAAAUGAAUCAAAACUUUCAACAACGGAUCUCUUGGUUCUGGCAUCGAUGAAGAACGCAGCGAAAUGCGAUAAGUAAUGUGAAUUGCAGAAUUCAGUGAAUCAUCGAAUCUUUGAACGCACAUUGCGCCCGUCAGUAUUCUGGCGGGCAUGCCUGUUCGAGCGUCAUUACGCCCCCCAAGUCCCCUGUGGACUUGGUGUUGGGGAUCGGCGAGGCUGGUUUUCCAGCACAGCCGUCCCUUAAAUUGAUUGGCGGUCUCGCCGCGGCCCUCCUCUGCGCAGUAGUAAAACACUCACAACAGGAGCCCGGCGCGGUCCACUGCCGUAAAACCCCCCAACUUUUUAUAGUUGACCUCGAAUCAGGUAGGACU